rnacentral:rRNA from 1 species
CACGUAGGGCGCGAGCGUUUGUCCGGAUUUAUUGGGCGUAAAGAGCUCGUAGGCGGCUUGUCGCGUCGUUCGUGAAAACCUGGCGGCUCAACUGCAGGCUUGCGGUCGAUACGGGCAAGCGUAGAGUUCGGUAGGGGAGACUGGAAUUCCUGGUGUAGCGGUGAAAUGCGCAGAUAUCAGGAGGAACACCGGUCGGGCGAAGGCGGGUCUCUUGGGCCGAU